rnacentral:misc_RNA from 1 species
AAAAACGAAACUUUGAUGCUUUUGAUUUUUUAAUUUACAUGUACAAAUAUGUUACACAACAAGCUUACACAGGGUUAUGGGUGGGGCUGGAUAAAAGAUGGGAGGCACGAAACAGUAAAACUACCCAGCACAAAGGCCUCAGGAAGAGAGAGGGAAGCGUGAGGGAGUUUAACCCAAGCCAUCGGGAGUGAUGACAGGACUUGGCAAACACACCUUUGCAGUCCAUGGAUGCAACUUGGUCAUGCAUCAGGGAAUGAAAUGGACAACACAUUCAAUGUCUUCACUUCCGCUGCUUCUUUGAGAGAGGCUCUGGUUGCGUCUCAGCAGCAUUUGAAAGCUGCUCACGAAUGUAGGCCAUUGAUCUUAGCAUGGCACCUAAAGUAUCCCGAGAAACCUGAAAUUUAACCUCCGAUUCUCCUGAAGUUGUUUCGGUAUCUUGAAGCUUUAAGUUAAUGACAGCAACCCUGUUAGCUGGUGUAGAUAGCUGUUCACUAAUAUAUGCCAUAGAUCUCAACAUGGGCUCCAAUGUAACUCUUGACAGUUGAAACUUAACCUCUAAUUCUGCCGAAGGAGUCUUGCUAUAAUCUUGCAACUUCAAGUUGAUGACAGCAACUCUGUUUCCUGGUGUUGAAUUCUUAUUCUCCAUCACCCAAGUCAUUGAUUUAAGACAAGGAAGAACUGCCAUAUUUCCAGGACCAUCAUCCCUUUGAAGGGAGACAGGAGCCAUGCGGGGAAGAUUCAGAUCAGCAACAGAUUGAGCCGAAGCACCAGCAUCAUUGAGAUUAAAUCGACGUGUAACUUCAUCUUGCCUUGGCCACAGCAAUGGCAUUGUAUCCGAUGCUGAUGUUGAGGUCUUCCUGUCAUCAUAACCAAUCCCACCAACCAGUGAGCUAGGUGGUCGAAUUUUAGCAGCAUUUUUCUUCAGAGCAGCAAUCUUCUUCCCACCUUCUCUAAGAGCACCA